rnacentral:rRNA from 1 species
CCUACGGGUGGCAGCAGUGAGGAAUAUUGGUCAAUGGGCGCAAGCCUGAACCAGCCAAGUCGCGUGAGGGAUGACGGUCCUAUGGAUUGUAAACCUCUUUUGUCGGGGAGCAAGGCCCGCCACGUGUGGCGGGAAGGAGAGUACCCGAAGAAAAAGCAUCGGCUAACUCCGUGCCAGCAGCCGCGGUAAUACGGAGGAUGCGAGCGUUAUCCGGAUUUAUUGGGUUUAAAGGGUGCGUAGGCGGCGCUGCAGGUCAGCGGUGAAAUCCCGGGGCUCAACCCCGGGGCUGCCGUUGAUACCGGAGCGCUAGAAUGCCGAUGCGGUAGGAGGAAUGUGUGGUGUAGCGGUGAAAUGCAUAGAGAUCACACAGAACACCGAUUGCGAAGGCAUCUGACGAAUCGGAGAUUGACGCUGAGGCACGAAAGCGUGGGGAGCGAACAGGAUUAGAUACCCGGGUAGUC